GUAUGUGGCUCAAGCGGUAGUGCGCUCGCCUGGCAUGCGUGUGGCCCGGGUUCGAUCCUCAGCACCACAUACA
rnacentral:tRNA from 1 species